CGAGAGGUGAGAAUCUGAGAUCUGAAACCAUUUGUUGAUCGUAUCCGAGGGUUGGAGAUGUUGGCCGUGUUCAAUCAGACGGUGGCGAAGAGCCCGGAGGGGCUGAGGAACCCGGCGGACGGGGAGGGCGGCGGCGCCCCAGCGUCGGCGGUGGUGGAGCACUUCGCGUCGGCGCGGGCUGGGGCGGUGACGAUUAGCCUCGGCGACGCCGGGUUCUUGGCCUACUCGUCGGAUAGGCAGAAUCCUCUCAUUCCCCGAUUAUUUGCUGUUGUAGACGACAUAUUUUGCUUAUUUCAAGGACACAUUGAGAAUAUUAUUCCUCUGAAGCAACAAUAUGGAUUGAAUAAGACUGCCAAUGAAGUUACAAUUGUAAUUGAAGCUUACAGAACAUUGAGAGAUAGAGGACCUUAUCCCGCUGACAAGGUUGUGAGAGAUUUUGGUGGAAAGUUUGCGUUUAU
rnacentral:misc_RNA from 1 species